rnacentral:rRNA from 1 species
GGUUAAGCGACUAAGCGUACACGGUGGAUGCCUUGGCAGUCAGAGGCGAUGAAGGACGUGCUAAUCUGCGAUAAGCGCCGGUAAGGUGAUAUGAACCGUUAUAACCGGCGAUUUCCGAAUGGGGAAACCCAGUGUGAUUCGUCACACUAUCAUUAACUGA